rnacentral:rRNA from 1 species
AUGACUCCUCUGGAAUUACAAUCUUCACGACAACGGUGUCCUUCAUGGAUCAAAUUAUUUCGUGAAUUGGAUUUCACUUGCCUGUCUACGGUUCCCUUGCGUGUGCUUGGGAUAGGUGUUCUAUAUAAAUGUUUCGUCGUAUUAUUAUGUAUUCUUCUUUAG